UUAUCGGUUAAAGAUGGGCAUGCGUCUGAUUAGCUUGUUGGUAAGGUAACGGCUUACCAAGGCAACGAUCAGUAGGGGGUCUGAGAGGAUGAUCCCCCACACUGGUACUGAG
rnacentral:rRNA from 1 species